AUAGAAAAGGAGUUCCCUGGUGUUUCAGCAGGUUAAGGAUCUGCCGUUGUCACUGCAAUGGCUCAGGUCCCUGCUGUGCUGUGGGUUCAAUCCCUGGCCUGGGAACUUCUGCAUGCCACAGAUGUGGUCAAAAAUAAAGGGGUACAGCAUCCUCAGAGGUGUACAGCAGAGACAGGAUUCUAACUCAGGACUCCCCAGAGCCUGUGUUGUCUGUUGGCUGAAUAGGUAUAAAGUGUUGGUAUAAAAGAUUGGGUGAUAUGUAUCUAGAGAGGGAUGGGGAGAGUUCAGCACAAAACCUACAAGGAUGGGACCUGAGGCUGUAGCCAGUGGGAGUCCUAGAAGUUCCUGAGCUGUGAUCUGAUGCCUGUGGCCUUUUAGGACCUGUGUGGGUUUGUCACCGUGGAGCUGCCGACAGACGUAGAGGGUCAUGUCUUAUUCUUGGCCUCGUUUCCUCAGAGCAUCAUGUAUGCUCCUCCCCCUGUGAUACCUGUGUCCCAUUUGCAAUGUCCUGUUCAGAGUGUCCUCUCUAGACUGUCCGCUCCGUGCAGUUGGGAAUGUCCCCUGUCGGGGUCACCUCCGUACCCCCAUUGCCUGGCCCUGAGAUGUGGUCAGUGCUUGGCUGUUGUUGGAUGGAUCAGUUUCAAAAAGAUGGUGAUCGGUACCGGGUGGGGUUGUUUCCAGAGAGAACUUCCCAUCAGGACGUCAGAACCGAUGGAGCCCAGGGCGGGAAGGCAGAGGGCUGGCGGGAAGGAGAUGGCAGCAGAAGCAGGCAUCUGGGGAGGAACUGCCUGCUUCAUUCUCUCUUUGUUGGUGUGUUAACUUCUUAGCGCUGCCCUAACAAAGCACCGCAAACUAAGUGGCUUAGAACAACAGAAAUUUAUUCUUUCAUCGUUCUGGCGGGUUUGAAGUCCAAAAUCAAGGUGUCAUCAGGGUUAGUUCCCUCUGGGGGGUCCAGAGGGAGAAUCUGUGCCAUGCCUCUUUCCUGGCUUCUGGUGGUCGCCAGCAGUCCUUGGCAUUCCUCAGCUUGCACUUGGUAACUGCGUCCUGCCUCCGUUCUCACGUGGCCGCCUCUGUGCAUCUGUGUCUUCGUGGCAUUCUCCUUUCUCUGUGGGUCUGUCUCUCCUCCUCUUCUCAUAAGGACUCUAGUCCCACUGGAAUACGAGUUCCUUCUAAUCCAGUCUUAACUUACAUCUUAAUUACAUCUGUAAGGACCUCUUUCCACAUCCGGUCAUAUACACAGCUUCCAAGGAUAGACUUCAGCAUCUCUCUUUAGGGGACACACAUAACCAACCCUCAAUAGCUGAUCAUCACAUCUUAGUGGUAAACAUAAUAAUGCAUGUACAUGGUGGGGGUUUUUUGGUCUUUUAAAAAAAAUUAUAAUUAUUUAGGGCCGUGCCUGCGGCAUAUGGAAGUUCCCAGGCUAGGGGGCAAAUCGGUUCUGCAGCUGCUGGGCUAUGCCACAGCCACAGCAAUACCAGAUCCGAGUCGUGUCUGCGACCUACACCACAGCUCACAGCAAUACCGGAUUCUUGACCCACUGAGCGAGUCCAGGGAUUGAACCCGCAUCCUCAAGGAUAGCAGACAGUUUUGUUUCCGCUGAGCCGCAACGGGAGCUCUCUACAUGGUGUUGUAUAGUUGGCAAGCACUGAUUAUCACAUGAAAGCCUCACAAAAAUCCUAAGGGUAGGUGGCCUAAUUGGCCCUUUUAGAGAUGCUGAAACUGAGGUUUCCGAAAGGGAUCUGCUCAAAAUUGUGCGUGAGGAAGUGAGCAAAGGAGAAGGACUUUGAAACCUCGACUUGAACCGGGCUCUUUCCCGCUGUGCAUCUGCCCUUUGGGAGCUGCUGGGAUCAGGAGCAGGUAGGGCUAAUGGGAGGCCCGGGAGAACCAGGUGCCCUGUACGUGCAUUUGGGAGCUCCCUCUUACCUGGAGACAGCCUCGUGUGGGUAGCAAACAUGAUUGUCCCUGAACAUGCCAGGGAGGGUAAGGCAAAUUUGGGAAGUACUAGGGCAUGAUGGGUCUGUUGGCAAUUGUGCACAUGAGAUGCUGAUCUGGGUCCAGCUUGCGGGGAGCAGGGGUGACAGCUUUCAUGUUCUCCCCUUCAGAGAACAAGCCUGAGGCCUCAGCAGCUUCCUCUCCUCCUACCUGGGCCUCUCCCUCCUUCAGACUCCCUCCCUCCGUUCAGGCCCACACCCCCUCCUUUCCCUCCCCUACCCGGUGAGGCCAGAGCUGGACACCUGCUCCCCACUCCCCAACACAGCUGCCCCGGGGGCUAAGUACAGACUCUCCUGGCUCCACCACCUUCUAGAACAUUCCUCCUGCCUUCUGUCUAGCAGUUAGACUCAGCUUCUCUCUUGUUCCUCUCUUGGCUUAGAGUUCCCACCUCUGCUCCUUUGGGCAAGCUCCUCCCCAGCACCCUUCUCCUCAGCCAGCCUUUCUUUCAUUUCCAUCUCAUUUGCUGUAGUUAAAACAGAGGCACUGCCAGGAGGGCUGGUGCAGUCCUAUCACGCAAAGAGCACAGAUGGAAAAUAGAAGCUGUGCUUUUACCCCUUCACGGGUUAUAAUGACACUGUGGUAGCCACUGAGAACUGUCCCAUUUGGUCUUUAAAAGCAUCCUGUGGAGUUCCCGUCGUGGCACAGUGGUUAACAUAUCCGACUAGGAACCAUGAGGUUGCGGGUUCGGUCCCUGGCCUUGCUCAGUGGGUUAAGGAUCCGGCGUUGCCUGGAGCUGUGGUGUAGGUUGCAGACGCGGCUCGGAUCCCGAGUUGCUGUGGCUCUGGUGUAGGCUGGUGGCUACAGCUCCGAUUAGACCCCUAGCCUGGGAACCUCCAUAUGCCGAGGGAGUGGCCCAAGAAAUG
ensembl:lncRNA